rnacentral:rRNA from 1 species
GAUGAACGCUGGCGGCGUGCCUAAUACAUGCAAGUCGAGCGAACGGACGAGAAGCUUGCUUCUCUGAUGUUAGCGGCGGACGGGUGAGUAACACGUGGAUAACCUACCUAUAAGACUGGGAUAACUUCGGGAAACCGGAGCUAAUACCGGAUGAUAUUUUGAACCGCAUGGUUCAAAAGUGAAAGACGGUCUUGCUGUCACUUAUAGAUGGAUCCGCGCUGCAUUAGCUAGUUGGUAAGGUAACGGCUUACCAAGGCAACGAUGCAUAGCCGACCUGAGAGGGUGAUCGGCCACACUGGAACUGAGAGACGGUCCAGACUCCUACGGGAGGCAGCAGUAGGGAAUCUUGCGCAAUGGGCGAAAGCCUGACGGAGCAACGCCGAGUGAGUGAUGAAGGUCUUCGGAUCGUAAAACUCUGUUAUUAGGGAAGAACAUAUGUGUAAGUAACUGUGCACAUCUUGACGGUACCUAAUCAGAAAGCCACGGCUAACUACGUG